CUCCUGGAGAACUAGUGGUUAGGCCAUGGCGCUCUCACCGCAGUGGCCUGGGUUCAAUUCCUGGCCAGGGAA